AGCAUCGGAACGUGCCCGGUAGUGGGGGAUAGCCCGGCGAAAGCCGGAUUAAUACCGCAUACGACCUGAGGGUGAAAGCGGGGGACCGCAAGGCCUCGCGCUAUCGGAGCGGCCGAUGUCAGAUUAGGUAGUUGGUGGGGUAAAGGCUACCAAGCCUGCGAUCUGUAGCUGGUCUGAGAGGACGACCAGCCACACUGGGACUGAGACACGGCCCAG
rnacentral:rRNA from 1 species